AGAGUUUGAUCAUGGCUCAGAACGAACGUUAGCGGCGCGCCUAACACAUGCAAGUCGCACGAGAAAGGGCUUCGGCCCCGGUACAGUGGCGCACGGGUGAGUAACACGUGGGUAAUCUGCCUUCGAGUGGGGGAUAACAUUCCGAAAGGGAUGCUAAUACCGCAUAAGACCACAAGCUCCGCAAGGAGUGGCGGUCAAAGCUGGCCUCUAUAUAUAAGCUAGCGCUUGAAGAUGAGCCCGCGGCCCAUCAUGGUAGUUGGUAGGGUAAUGGCCUACCAAGCCGAAGACGGGUAACUGGUCUGAGAGGAUGAUCAGUCACACUGGAACUGAGACACGGUCCAGACUCCUACGGGAGGCAGCAGUGGGGAAUCUUGCGCAAUGGGCGAAAGCCUGACGCAGCGACGCCGCGUGAGUGAUGAAGGCCUUCGGGUUGUAAAGCUCUGUGGGGAGAGAAGAAUAAGUGCAGGUUAAUAUCCUGCAUGAUGACGGUAUCUCCUUAGCAAGCACCGGCUAACUCUGUGCCAGCAGCCGCGGUAAGACAGAGGGUGCAAACGUUGUUCGGAAUUACUGGGCGUAAAGCGAGUGUAGGCGGUUCUGUAAGUCGGAUGUGAAAGCCCCGGGCUCAACCCGGGAAGUGCACUCGAUACUGCAGAGCUAGAGUACUGGAGAGGUGGGUGGAAUUCUCGGUGUAGAGGUGAAAUUCGUAGAUAUCGAGAGGAACACCGGCGGCGAAGGCGGCCCACUGGACAGAUACUGACGCUGAGACUCGAAAGCGUGGGGAGCAAACAGGAUUAGAUACCCUAGUAGUCC
rnacentral:rRNA from 1 species